GCUGGGGGGGCAGCUAACACAUGCAAGUCGAGCGCUCACUUCGGUGGGAGCGGCGGACGGGUUAGUAACGCGUGGGAACGUGCCCUUCUCUGCGGAAUAGCCACUGGAAACGGUGAGUAAUACCGCAUACGCCCUUCGGGGGAAAGAUUUAUCGGAGAAGGAUCGGCCCGCGUUAGAUUAGGUAGUUGGUGGGGUAAUGGCCUACCAAGCCUACGAUCUAUAGCUGGUUUGAGAGGAUGAUCAGCAACACUGGGACUGAGACACGGCCCAGACUCCUACGGGAGGCAGCAGUGGGGAAUCUUAGACAAUGGGCGCAAGCCUGAUCUAGCCAUGCCGCGUGAGUGAUGAAGGCCUUAGGGUCGUAAAGCUCUUUCGCUGGGGAAGAUAAUGACUGUACCCAGUAAAGAAACCCCGGCUAACUCCGUGCCAGCAGCCGCGGUAAU
rnacentral:rRNA from 1 species